rnacentral:lncRNA from 1 species
AAGUCAACACGGUCCCGCUGAGCAUCUCCAACAUGGACAUGACCCCACUGGAUAUCUCCAAAGUCAACACGUCCUCAUUGAGCGCCUCCAAUGCGGACACGACCUCACUGAGUACCUCCAAAGUCAACGCGGUCCCGUUGAGUGUCUCCAACGUGGAUGUGACCUCAUUGAGCAUCUCCAAAGUCAACACGUCCCCAUUGAGUGGCUCCAUCGUGGACAAGUCCCGAUCAGGCAUCUGCAACAUCAACAUGGUCCCGUUGAGCACCUCCAAUGUGGACACGACCUCACUGAACAUCUCCAAAGUCAACACGGUCCCGUUGAGUGUCUCCAACAUGGACACAACCUCAUCGGGCGUCUCCAAAGUCAAUAUAGCCCCACUGAGCGUCUCCAUCGUGGACGUGGCCCCACUGGGCAUCUCCAAAGCCAACAUGUCCCCUCUGAGCACCUCCAACGUGGACACGACCUCACUGAGCAUCUCCAAAGUCGAUACGGCCCCGUUGGGCAUCUCCAAAGUCAACGUGGCCCCAUUGGGCACCUCCGACGUGGACACGGCCCCCUUGAGCACCUCCAAGCUGGACACGACCCCACGGGGCGCCUUCAAGGAGGACACGGCCCCGCCGGAUGUCUCCAAGGGGGACGUGGCCCUGUUGAGGCUCUCCAAAGGGGACCAGGCACCUCUGGGUGUCCCCGUCUCCGAGGCAGACACAGCCCCACCAGGUGUCCCAAAGGUGGCCACGACCCCGAUGAGCGUCUCCAAGGUGGCCACGACCCUCUUGGGUGGCCCAAAAGUGGCCACAACCCCAUGGAGAACCUCCAAGGUGGAAACGGCCCCAUUAGGCGACUCCAAGGUAGAAAUGACCCCACCGGGCAUCCCAAAGGUGGGCACGGCCCCAUGGAGGGUCUCCAAGGGGGACACGACCCUGUUGAGCGUCCCAAAAGUGGGCACRACCCCACUGGGUGUCUCCAAAGUGGACACGGCCCCAUUGGGUGCCUCCAGGGUGGAAACGAGCCCAUUGGGCGUCCCAAAGGUGGACAAAACCCUAUUGGGUGCCUCCAAGGA